CUUAGUGCUGGUUUUAUAGACAGUUCUUGGUGAGACGUGAUUGUUUUAAAUAAUUAAUUUCAUGUUAUUAUUGAAAUUAUCUAAUUAAAGUUUUCGUUCUAAAAAUUGAUUAUUAAUUAGUGGUCUUGUGGUGCUAUCCAUCUGCAAUAGUCACCAAUUUGGCUAGAAAUUCGAGUUUUAUAAACAUUCCCAAUGGUUGUGAUGAAUUAACUGGUUCAAGUUUAUCAGUAACUAGAUUUUCCUGGGAUAAAUCCAUUCCUAGUACAUCUACCUCGCUUUCAUUUACCGAAGAAAAUGCAUCAGCUUUAAGAGUUCAAAAUUUGGUAACAAACUCCAACAAUUCGAUCAAGGAUAAUUCAUUAAGGAGUUCAACUGAAUCAUUGCCAAGUCCCGUAUUACAAUCACAAAACAUCGAAAGUCCUCAAAGUUUUAGUGAUAUUGUUAUUGAUGAAACGAAUAAUAUUGCAUCCAAUCAAAUUUCUCGAUUGGAUUCAUCUAUUUUUCAAACUUUAAUUUUAUGAAUUUUAUUUUAUGAAAUCUUUAAAU